GGCGCCAGUUCGUUAUCUACUACCCAUGUGACCUGCUGCUUCCUCUGCUGCGCCUACUAGCUCCUGGCCUCACCACCCAGCCUUCACCGUCAGCUCUCCCCCAGCUUCGGACCUGCCUACACUGUUUUCUCAUACAACCCUGGCUCUCCAUUAAAACCUUUAUUUUUGAAUCUA